UUGAAGGGGUAAAGCACUGUUUCGAUGCGGGCUGCGAGAGCGGUACCAAUUUGUCACAAACUCAUAAUACUUCAAACAAUUCAAAUGAGCAGUGAGACUAUGGGGGAUAAGCUUCAUUGUCGAGAGGGAAACAGCCCAGAUGACUCGUUAAGGCCCCAAAAUAUGUGCUAAGUGAUAAAGGAGGUGAGAGUGCAGAAACAACCAGGAGGUUUGCUUAGAAGCAGCCAUCCUUUAA
rnacentral:rRNA from 16 species